AAAAAAAAAUUCAGAAAAAAAAAAAGGUAUGGCCUAGGUUUUGCCCUAAUCUCUUCACGUCAAAGAGGCGACCCAUCCUUCGAAGGCCUCCGGCGACGGCGACUCCUUCGUCUUAUAUAUUUUUUGUUUUGCAAAUCAGCAAGCAACUGGUUUUGUUCCUUCUUGCAUCUCUUCGUCUUCUCUCCUGUGAGAAACUGGUCAGAAUUUUCGGGUGCCCCUGCGUAUCAGCAAGCAACUGGUUUUUGCAGUUGAACCAAUUUGAUUAUGAAGCUGCAAGGAAAGAGUUUAGGUUUGGGGAAGAUCGGAAAGGGAAAAAGGGGGAAGAGGGCGAUGAGGGUCAUAGGAAUAAUAGUAGGCUUGAUUAAGUGGAUCGGAAAAAGAGUUCAGUUGCCUGUCAUUCCCAUAAUGAUGAACGAACUGGAGAUUUUGCGCAGGGUAGAAGACGCCAGACUUUUCCAGCAACAGGGAACCGAAGUGCGACUUUUUGUAGCAGCAGGUCGUAGUUAGUUUCAUGUUAAUCACUCGUCAGAAAAAGAAAAAGGAUCAGUAUGUUUUGUUGAUUCAUUGUUGCAAAAUGAAAAUUGAAAUCCUUUUUAAGACCUGUUGAGCAGUUUAUGCACUUCAAUGAAUCAAAAGAAUUUAAGCUUGUGCACUGGUAACCAUUUAAUUAGCGUUAAUGGUCAUAAUGUUGCUUAUGUGGAGAUGA